rnacentral:rRNA from 1 species
CAGUCGUGAGGAAGGUAGUGUAGUUAAUAGCUGCAUUAUUUGACGUUAGCGACAGAAGAAAGCACCGGCUAACUCCGUGCCAGCAGCCGCGGUAAUACGGAGGGUGCGAGCGUUAAUCGGAAUUACUGGGCGUAAAGACGCAUGCAGGUGGUUUGUUAAGUCAGAUGUGAAAGACCCGGGGCGUCAACCUACGGAAGUAAGCAUUUAGUAAACUAGGCAGACUAGAGUACUGUAGAGGGGGGUAGGAAUUUCAGGUGUAGCGGUGAAAUGCGUAGAGAUCUGAAGGAAUACCGGUGGCGAAGGCGGCCCCCUCGGACAGAUACUGACACUCAGAUGCGAAAGCGUGGGGAGCAAACAGGAUUAGAUACCCUGGUAG